GACGAACGCUGGCGGCGUGCUUAACACAUGCAAGUCGAACGGAAAGGCCCUGCUUUUGUGGGGUGCUCGAGUGGCGAACAGGUGAGUAACACGUGAGUAACCUGCCCUUGACUUUGGGAUAACUUCAGGAAACUGGGGCUAAUACCGGAUAGGAGCUCCUGCUGCAUGGUGGGGGUUGGAAAGUUUCGGCGGUUGGGGAUGGACUCGCGGCUUAUCAGCUUGUUGGUGGGGUAGUGGCUUACCAAGGCUUUGACGGGUAGCCGGCCUGAGAGGGUGACCGGCCACAUUGGGACUGAGAUACGGCCCAGACUCCUACGGGAGGCAGCAGUGGGGAAUAUUGCACAAUGGGCGGAAGCCUGAUGCAGCAACGCCGCGUGCGGGAUGACGGCCUUCGGGUUGUAAACCGCUUUCGCCUGUGACGAAGCGUGAGUGACGGUAAUGGGUAAAGAAGCACCGGCUAACUACGUGCCAGCAGCCGCGGUGAUACGUAGGGUGCGAGCGUUGUCCGGAUUUAUUGGGCGUAAAGGGCUCGUAGGUGGUUGAUCGCGUCGGAAGUGUAAUCUUGGGGCUUAACCCUGAGCGUGCUUUCGAUACGGGUUGACUUGAGGAAGGUAGGGGAGAAUGGAAUUCCUGGUGGAGCGGUGGAAUGCGCAGAUAUCAGGAGGAACACCAGUGGCGAAGGCGGUUCUCUGGGCCUUUCCUGACGCUGAGGAGCGAAAGCGUGGGGAGCGAACAGGCUUAGAUACCCUGGUAGUCCACGCUGUAAACGGUGGGUACUAGGUGUGGGGUCCAUUCCACGGGUUCCGUGCCGUAGCUAACGCUUUAAGUACCCCGCCUGGGGAGUACGGCCGCAAGGCUAAAACUCAAAGGAAUUGACGGGGCCCCGCACAAGCGGCGGAGCAUGCGGAUUAAUUCGAUGCAACGCGUAGAACCUUACCUGGGUUUGACAUGGAUCGGGAGUGCUCAGAGAUGGGUGUGCCUCUUUUGGGGUCGGUUCACAGGUGGUGCAUGGCUGUCGUCAGCUCGUGUCGUGAGAUGUUGGGUUAAGUCCCGCAACGAGCGCAACCCUUGUUCACUGUUGCCAGCACGUUAUGGUGGGGACUCAGUGGAGACCGCCGGGGUCAACUCGGAGGAAGGUGGGGAUGACGUCAAGUCAUCAUGCCCCUUAUGUCCAGGGCUUCACGCAUGCUACAAUGGCUGGUACAGAGGGUGGCGAGCCUGUGAGGGUGAGCGAAUCUCGGAAAGCCGGUCUCAGUUCGGAUUGGGGUCUGCAACUCGACCUCAUGAAGUCGGAGUCGCUAGUAAUCGCAGAUCAGCAACGCUGCGGUGAAUACGUUCCCGGGGCU
rnacentral:rRNA from 1 species